GUUUAAGUGAAUGCACAAAUCACCGGCGUUUACGCAACACACACUGCGCUUAUCUACAAGUGCUUCUCAUUUGCAAGCUUCAGACCUACUCCAUCUUCCGUCUCCUGCUUCCCAUCCAAACAGAGGACUGUACUGGAUCUACUAGAUCAAUAUCUAGUAUCACAUGGAAGAAAGACAUUAAGUGACCUGCAUAUGGGCUUCAUUUAGAACUCCUCACAUUAAGAGGCCCCGCACUUGGCCACUUCAGCACUGGACCAGUCCCAGGCACAACACAGAUCAGCUUUGGGGCCAACAGUUUCCAAGGGCCUGUUCCAGCAGUUCUAGGAUGCUUGAGCUUCCAAGGUAGCGAGGGAAGGAGGAGAAUGAGGCUAUAGGGUGCUGUCCAUCAUGGUGUCCAUGUUGGUCAUUGGUCGUCGUGAACAGUCUCCGAGAGGCAACACAUCACUCACCCCUACUUACCUAAGACUGAGAGAUUCUGGUCCAGCAGCUGAUUUGAUUUGUGUUCCUCUUGUGCACAUCACCAUCACCAGGCACAGUAGAAGGUCUGGGUUGUCCAUCACAUUGGAACUGAGGCAAUCAGUCAGACACGACCCUCCUUCCAUGACUGAUAUCUCGUCUGUAAAGUAUAGAUUUCUUGACUGUUAGUCGAUAAUAUCUGUAAGGGCUAGAGGGCUUGGGCUUCACGCCC